ensembl:lncRNA
AGAACAUCUCGGCUUCGUUUCUCUCUGAAAUAAAGUCUAUCUUCUGGAAACAAAACCCCAAGACUGAGUGUGAUCCCUCAGAUCCAUGGCAGCAGACACGACACUACAUUUGGCGCCCGAACAGGGACUGGAAAGGAGCAGCAGAGUGGACGACCGCUUUUGAACUGACUGAUGAGCAACACACACACAGUGGUGGCCACCAUAGAAUAAGGAGAAAAGGAAAGAGCCCAGAGAGGAAUUGGAGACUGCCUGUCCAGUUGUUCCAGGUGACCAAGUAUAUCUGAGGGUAUUCCGGAGAAAGUGGAAUGAGCCCAGGAGAGAAGGAACCUACAAAGUGGUGAGAGCUACUCCAACAGCAGUCCAAGUGGAGGGAAGCACAACCUGGUAUCAUCUAAACCACUGUACUAGAGUUCCCACGGGAAAGGCAGAAAGAAAAGAAAACAGACAACCAGACGAUGCAGGAGAAAGUAACGAGGAAAGAUCAGAGACACAUGAUGAAGUGCAAACUGACGAGAGCACAAAGAAAGAUCCACAAGGAGCUCCUUUCCUUCUGUCAGACGAAAUGGAGAGGACAGAGAAUGACUCUGACAACAUAUCUGAAGACCAUCCUAUGCCUAAUGCAUUUAAUAAUGCAAACCCAAACUCAACCAAUGGAAAGCAAUCUGACUUCCCUUCAAUUGACUUUUCAACCUUUGAACAAAAGUGACAAUGAUAUCAAUCCAACAGAACCAACGAUAAUCAAAAAUCGUAGAAACACUGAUUAUGAUGUACAAGGUGAUGAAGACAUUAAUCAUAUUGAUGCAUUAUGGGAUACAGCCCAAAAUAAUGAAUGGUAUAAAUGGGCAGCCUUUACUGCUAGAGAAACAGGAAAAGAAAAUUGCUUGCUGUGCUCCAAAUCUCCGUUAAACAAAGUAACAGCCAUACCAAAUCCAUAUGACUACCAAGAAUGUGCCAAAUUUGGGAGAAACUUUUGUCAUUUAACAGAUUUUACCAGACCAUAUUGUUUUUCUGAAUGUCUAGGAUUUUUGGGAAAUCCUAAAUUAACAGAUUAUUUUUUAGACCACUCUGGGGAUCUUGGUGUCAGUAUUCAGAUGUUAGCCAAAAUAUAAAAAUUGAAAAACGAAAGUAGAGAUUCCAAAAUUGUAUAGCAUAGAUUAUAAACAGGAAUAUCAGUGUUUCCAUAAACCAAAAGGAACACAAGAUGUGGGC